rnacentral:tRNA from 1 species
CGAGGUGUAGCGCAGUCUGGUCAGCACAUCUGUUUUGGGUACAGAGGGCCAUAGGUUUGAAUCCUGUCACCUUGA